rnacentral:rRNA from 1 species
GGUGAACGCUGGCGGCGUGCCUUACACAUGCAAGUCGAACGAGAAGCAUUCGUGGAACCUUUCGGGGUGAAGGGAAUGUGGAAAGUGGCGAACGAGUGAGUAACACGUAGAAACCUGCCCAUCGGAGGGGGAGAACAACUGGAAACGGUUGCUAAUACCGCAUAAGAUCGAGAGAUGAAAGCCUUAGGGUGCCGAUGGAGGGGUCUGCGGGCCAUCAGGUAGUUGGUGAGAUAACAGCUCACCAAGCCGACGACGGCUAUCUGGCGUGAGAGCGUGAUCAGACACGAGGACACUGAGAUACGGGUCCUACUCCUACGGGAGGCAGCAGUGGGGAAUAUUGCACAAUGGGCGAAAGCCUGAUGCAGCGACGCCGCGUGAACGAUGAAGGCUUUCGAGUCGUAAAGUUCUGUUUCUUUGGGGAAGAUAACGACGGUACCCAAGGAGAAAGCACCGGCUAAA